rnacentral:rRNA from 1 species
ACGGGAGGCAGCAGUGAGGAAUAUUGGUCAAUGGGCGAGAGCCUGAACCAGCCAAGUAGCGUGAGGGAUGACUGCCCUAUGGGUUGUAAACCUCUUUUGUUCGGGAAUAAAUGAGCCUACGUGUAGGUUUUUGCAUGUACCGUAAGAAUAAGGACCGGCUAAUUCCGUGCCAGCAGCCGCGGUAAUACGGAAGGUCCGGGCGUUAUCCGGAUUUAUUGGGUUUAAAGGGAGCGUAGGCCGUGCUUUAAGCGUGUUGUGAAAUGUAGGCGCCCAACGCCUGCACUGCAGCGCGAAUUGGAGCACUUGAGUACGCAGGAAGUAGGCGGAAUUCGUCGUGUAGCGGUGAAAUGCUUAGAUAUGACGAAGAACUCCGAUUGGGAAGCCAGCUUACUGUAGCGCCACUGACGCUGAUGCUCGAAAGCGUGGGUAUCGAACAGGAUUAGAUACCCUGGUA